rnacentral:rRNA from 1 species
CGGUUGAUCCUGCCAGUAGUCAUAUGCUUGUCUCAAAGAUUAAGCCAUGCAUGUCUAAGCACAAGCCUAAGAAUGGUAAAGCCGCGAAUGGCUCAUUACAACAGCCAUAGUUUACUGGAUCUUACUUUCCUACUUGGAUAACUGUGGUAAUUCUAGAGCUAAUACACGCAUGAAAGCUCUGACCUUUUGGAAGGAGCGCAUUUAUUAGAACAAAACCAAUCGGGCCUUCGGGCCCGCCAAUUGGUGAAUCUGAAUAACUUUGCAGAUCGCACGGUCUCGUACCGGCGACGUAUCUUUCAAAUGUCUGCCUUAUCAACUUUAGAUGGUAGUUUACACGCCUACCAUGGUUGUAACGGGUAACGGAGAAUAAGGGUUCGACUCCGGAGAGGGAGCCUGAGAAAUGGCUACCACAUCCAAGGAAGGCAGCAGGCACGCAAAUUACCCACUCCCGGCACGGGGAGGUAGUGACGAAAAAUAACGAGGCGGUUCUCUACGAGGCCCGCCAUCGGAAUGGGUACAAUUUAAAUCCUUUAACGAGGAUCUAUUGGAGGGCAAGUCUGGU